UGGGGAAUAUUGCACAAUGGGCGAAAGCCUGAUGCAGCAACGCCGCGUGAGUGAUGAAGGCCUUCGGGUUGUAAAGCUCUGUCUUUUGGGACGAUAAUGACGGUACCAAAGGAGGAAGCCACGGCUAACUACGUGCCAGCAGCCGCGGUAAUACGUAGGUGGCAAGCGUUGUCCGGAUUUACUGGGCGUAAAGGAUGCGUAGGCGGAUUUUUAAGUGANAUGUGAAAACCCUAAGCUUAACUUGGGGACUGCAUUUCAUACUGGAAAUCUAGAGUGCGGGAGAGGAGAAUGGAAUUCCUAGUGUGAGCGGUGAAAUGCGUAGAGAUUAGGAAGAACACCAGUGGCGAAGGCGAUUCUCUGGACCGUAACUGACGCUGAGGCAUGAAAGCGUGGGUAGCAAACAGGAUUAGAUACCCUGGUAGUCCACGCCGUAAACGAUGAGUACUAGGUGUAGGAGGUAUCGACCCCUUCUGUGCCGCAGUUAACACAAUAAGUACUCCGCCUGGGAAGUACGAUCGCAAGAUUAAAACUUAAAUGAAUUGACGGGGUCAUAGCUGUUUCCU
rnacentral:rRNA from 1 species